rnacentral:rRNA from 1 species
GACGUAGGGCGCGAGCGUUGUCCGGAUUUAUUGGGCGUAAAGAGCUCGUAGGCGGCUUGUCGCGUCGACUGUGAAAACUUGGGGCUCAACCCCAAGCUUGCAGUCGAUACGGGCAGGCUAGAGUUCGGUAGGGGAGACUGGAAUUCCUGGUGUAGCGGUGAAAUGCGCAGAUAUCAGGAGGAACACCGAUGGCGAAGGCAGGUCUCUGGGCCGAUACUGACGCUGAGGAGCGAAAGCGUGGGGAGCAAACAGG